rnacentral:rRNA from 1 species
GACGAACGCUGGCGGCGUGCUUAACACAUGCAAGUCGAACGAAGUGGCGAACGGGUGAGUAAUACGUGAGUAACCUGCCCUCCUUUUUGGGAUAAGCCUUGGAAACGGGGUCUAAUACCGAAUAAAGGGGGAUGGGCUCGCGGCCUAUGAGCUUGUUGGUGGGGUGAUGGCCUACCAAGGCGGUGACGGGUAGCCGGCCUGAGAGGGUGACCGGCGACAUUGGGACUGAGAUACGGCCCAGACUGAUACGGGGGGGGGAAGUGGGGGAGAUGGAACAAUGGGCGAAAGCCUGAUGCAGCGACGGCGCGUGGGGGAUGAAGGCUUUCGGGUUGUAAACCUAUUUCGCUAUCGAAGGGGUAGGUGGAGAAGAAGCGCCGGCUAACUACGUGCCAGCAGCCGCGGUAAUAC